UACAGAGGUCUCAAGCGUUGUUCGGAAUUACUGGGCGUAAAGCGCGCGUAGGCGGACCUACAAGUCGGGGGUGAAAGCCCGAGGCUCAACCUCGGAACUGCCUUCGAUACUGGGGAUCUCGAGUCCGGAAGAGGUGAGUGGAACUCCGAGUGUAGAGGUGAAAUUCGUAGAUAUUCGGAAGAACACCAGUGGCGAAGGCGGCUCACUGGUCCGGUACUGACGCUGAGGUGCGAAAGCGUGGGGAGCAAACAGG
rnacentral:rRNA from 1 species